CCUACGGGAGGCAGCAGUGGGGAAUAUUGCACAAUGGGGGAAACCCUGAUGCAGCGACGCCGCGUGAGCGAUGAAGUAUUUCGGUAUGUAAAGCUCUAUCAGCAGGGAAGAAUAAUGACGGUAGCUAAGGAGCAAGCCACGGCUAACUACGUGCCAGCAGCCGCGGUAAUACGGAGGAUGCGAGCGUUAUCCGGAUUUAUUGGGUUUAAAGGGUGCGUAGGCGGAAUGCCAAGUCAGCGGUAAAAUCGCGGGGCUCAACCUCGCUCCGCCGUUGAAACUGGCGUUCUUGAGUGGGCGAGAAGUAUGCGGAAUGCGUGGUGUAGCGGUGAAAUGCAUAGAUAUCACGCAGAACUCCGAUUGCGAAGGCAGCAUACCGGCGCCCAACUGACGCUGAAGCACGAAAGCGUGGGUAUCGAACAGGAUUAGAUACCCUAGUAGUC
rnacentral:rRNA from 1 species